GGGUGUAUAGCUCAGUUGGUAGAGCAUUGGGCUUUUAACCUAAUGGUCGCACUUAUCUUUGGAUUUUGGAAGCUCAUCUCCUCUUAACUCG
rnacentral:tRNA from 1 species